UCUACCGGCAACCUGCGCACCAGGUGUGUCGUUCUCGCGGCCCUUAUGUAACCAUUCGUUCCGACUCGUACACCCUCUAUGGUAGACUUAUCGUUUCGGCCGCCGGCAGCCUCGACUUUAGUAAUUCUCCCAUAAGUUCGCGUUAUUCCGUGCACCGCGACCGUUCAAACCGCUGCAUGGGUUCUUUCGUAGACGGAUAAGAGAGGGAGAGAGAUAGAUAUAGAGGGAGACAGAGAGUGCCGUGGGAAGGAAGGGAACCGCCACCGGUAGUCGUAGUUUUAGGAAAAACGGGUGAUGAAGCAGAAGCAAGACCGGUGGACCCGCGAGUGAGAACGAGAGGGAAGUAGCGGCUGUGGGAAAAGGGAUCGACGCUCCUCGCAAGGCAUUAACGGUAGACGCCUAGCAGCGUCGGAGGUAAAAAAGGAGGCACGGAGGGAAGGUAGAAUCGCCGCUUCGCAGUCAGAGAGAGAGAGGGGGAGAGCUUAUUAGUGUGACCCUGCUUGGAGGCGCCUGUCGUCUUCGCCGAUUACAAUCAUAACGCCGCCCGCUCUAAAACGCCCGAGACGGGAAACGGUGGAGUCUUCACCGCCACCCGCUAAGCCCGGACCGUCCACCGAGCUGGCCCACAUCAUGGACGCGCCGCUGUCCCAGAGCAUGGAUUCCGUCAACACGGUCGCCACCGUCGAGGACGAGGUGCGGACCUUGUUUGUCAGCGGUUUGCCGAUGGACACAAAGCCCAGAGAACUUUACCUUCUCUUUAGAGCAUACGAGGGAUACGAGGGCUCCCUCUUAAAGGUCACAAGUAAAAAUGGGAAAACUUCAUCGCCGGUGGGAUUCGUGACUUUCCAUACGAGAGCGGGGGCGGAAGCUGCAAAGCAGGACCUGCAGCAGGGUGUGAGAUUCGAUCCUGAUAUGCCACAAACCAUACGUUUGGAAUUUGCAAAAAGUAACACAAAAGUUAGCAAACCCAAGCCACCAGCCGCUACAGCAGCCACCACGCACCCCGCUCUGAUGCACCCUCUAACUGGACAUCUAGGAACCCCAUUCUUCCACGGAGGUCCUGAAUUAUGGCACCAUCCUCUGACGUACUCGACUGCUGGUGAACUACCGGGCACACUCCAGCAUGCGACUCUGGUUCAUCCCGCCUUGCAUCCUCAGGUCCCCGCACCCAUGUCUCUGCCGCAUCCGACAACGUUAACGUCGAUACACGCAUCGCUGCCGCAUUUUUUACCAUCUCCGGCUUUGGCAUCACCAGUCGGAUCCUCUUCAUCUCAGCCGAGCAUUGCCGUUAGCAAUGCACCCUGCUCCACGCUUUUCGUGGCGAACCUAGGACAAUUUGUAUCCGAACACGAGCUUAAGGAAAUAUUCAGCAGAUACAGUUCGAAUGCCGAGUGCAAGCGCCUGAAGAACUUCGCCUGAAGAACACUCCUCUUCAAGACAACGUUUUUCAUAUCUUACGUCCGAACGAGAGCUACUUUUUCUGUGGAGGUACCUUAGGGAGAGAUCAAAUUUUGGGACUUCAUAUUUCGGAUGUACCUCAAGAGAUUUUAUACAAAAGGGUCAAAGGGAGACGAAAACAGGCAGUCUUAAAAUUAG
rnacentral:misc_RNA from 1 species